CAGUCUGCAACUCGACUACAUGAAGCUGGAAUCGCUAGUAAUCGCGGAUCAGAAUGCCGCGGUGAAUACGUUCCCGGGUCUUGUACACACCGCCCGUCACACCAUGGGAGUCGGAAAUGCCCGAAGUCUGUGACCCAACCUUAGGGAGGGAGCAGCCGAAGGCAGGUCGGAUGACUGGGGUGAAGUCGUAACAAGGUAAC
rnacentral:rRNA from 1 species